rnacentral:rRNA from 1 species
UGGGGAAUUUUGGACAAUGGGGGCAACCCUGAUCCAGCAAUGCCGCGUGUGUGAAGAAGGCCUUCGGGUUGUAAAGCACUUUUGUCCGGGAAGAAAUCGCACCUGAUAAUACCGGGUGUGGAUGACGGUACCGGAAGAAUAAGGACCGGCUAACUACGUGCCAGCAGCCGCGGUAAUACGUAGGGUCCAAGCGUUAAUCGGAAUUACUGGGCGUAAAGCGUGCGCAGGCGGUUGUGCAAGACCGAUGUGAAAUCCCCGGGCUUAACCUGGGAAUUGCAUUGGUGACUGCACGGCUAGAGUGUGUCAGAGGGGGGUAGAAUUCCACGUGUAGCAGUGAAAUGCGUAGAGAUGUGGAGGAAUACCGAUGGCGAAGGCAGCCCCCUGGGAUAACACUGACGCUCAUGCACGACAGCGUGGGGAGCAAACAGG